UACGUAGGGUCCGAGCGUUGUCCGGAAUUAUUGGGCGUAAAGGGCUCGUAGGCGGUUUGUCGCGUCGGGAGUGAAAACUCAGGGCUCAACCCUGAGCGUGCUUCCGAUACGGGCAGACUAGAGGUAUGCAGGGGAGAACGGAAUUCCUGGUGUAGCGGUGGAAUGCGCAGAUAUCAGGAGGAACACCGGUGGCGAAGGCGGUUCUCUGGGCAUUACCUGACGCUGAGGAGCGAAAGCAUGGGGAGCAAACAGG
rnacentral:rRNA from 1 species